AGGAAAACGCGGUUAGGCUUAGCGUGUGAAUCCGCCGAGGAUUAGGAUAAAUAAUCCUAAUUGCCUACAAUUGGAAACUCUACUCUAUCUUCUUCUACCCCUUGCAAUUUGCAAACCCUAACCCCAGAAUCAAUUUGUCCCAAUUCCGAUUUUUGUUCAAUCUCCGAUACCCACUUGUAAUCUUGACUAAAGAUUCAAUCUUUGGGGUUCAAUUUUUUCUCUGAGAAAAUAAAGGAAUUAGGGUUUAGGAGUUAAGAGGAGGAGGAAGAUGGUGAUCAGGAUUGAAGAUUUGAGGAAAAAUGAGACCAGGCUUUGCGGGUCUUUCUUGAAAAUGGUUGAGGAUGUGAAAGCCAUGGCCAGCGACCCAUCUGAGCAACAAGUGCUUCUGACCCAGAUGGUUUUGAAGGAGUUGAUGAUGAAUAGGAACAAACCAGAAGCAGCCUUCUCACUUGGUUUUCCCAAAAAGAAGAGAUCUGGAUCUAGAGGGAUGCAAAAGCAGAAUCAGAAGCAGAGGAUCAUCAUCAAAUUCAAACGCUGCGUCUCUGCCACUACAGAAACAGGAUUUGAAAUUGAAAUUGAAAUUGAAGAGCAAGAAGAGGUGCUACUCUGAAAUCGAACAAGCAGGGGAUGAAGGUUUCGAAGAAAUAAACUCGAAAAGGCUGAGAAAGGGAAAGAAUGAUAAGAGGGUAUUACCAAGUGUGCAAUCGAUGACUGUGGAUUUUCCAAUGGAAGAAUUGCAGGAUCGUAUUCGUGGAUCAGAUAACCCAAAGCCAAGAGCAAUAGCAAUAGCAAUAGCAGGGGAGAGGAAGCAGAUCAAGAGCAAUAUGACCAUCUUUGCUUUGUCCUUGUUAAUCUGCUUUCCGUGAGUAUUCUUUGAGUCUUUGACUUAAACUUAAAUCAACUUGGGUAGUCUUUGAUCAAUAUAUAUGUACAUAGUUAUCAAGUCCUAAGAUUUCUUGUUCAUUAACUCUCUACCCUUCUCCAUUUUCUCAGUCUUGCAGUUUAUGUUCAACAGUAAUUCAAUGAACAACUUUCAUUUUUCCGGUAUGGUUUUUGUAAUUUUAAUACUUUCUCUAUUUCCCCAAAGCUCAGAUAUCGCAUAUCUUCAUUCUCUUUCUCUCAGAUCAUUCAGUAUGCUCUUUGAGUUUUGGGGAUGCAUCCAAUUUCUUCUUAUGUUUACCUGGUAUGUUAGCUUACAUGUGCUCUUUUAGUUUUAGACUAGGCUUAUUAAUGCUUUUAACCAUUUAUCUUUGUUCGUUCUCUUCUUAAUGGUGACAACUCAUAUAUAAGAAUUAGCUUAUGAGUAAAGAACUAAAGAUGCUUCUGAUUUUUUACCAACUGGCAUGGUGGUCUGCUUGUGUAGUAUAGGUUGAAUUACUUGCACUAGGCUAUGUUUAGGAUGAAGGAUGUCUAGUUUCAACAUCGUUGUUUCUUUUGACUGGAGGACUGAAGGAAUGUUGGUUUAAUUCACCGCUACAAUUUGAGAUAUGGCUCAUUAAUUUUGGUGCGGAUUAAUGGAAUGUGCUUUAGUUUGAGCUGCAUCUGUCCUUGUUUUUGAAAGGAUUUGAUGUCUUAGUAUGCAAUUUGAGCUUUGUUUUUCAAAUCAGAUUGGUUUAUGAAUUAUUUCCAUUUAUUUUCAUAAAGAUGAGUACUCUCACAUUUGGAUUCCAAAUCUUCUUUACUGCAUAAAACUUCCUAGAAGUAAGGGAUGCAAAAUUCCUCACCGAACAGAUGACGAUAUCAGCUAUUCUCCUCCCUGUCGAAUUGUGCGUAUGGGAGUAGCUCUAUAAAUCAUAUUGAAGUUUUUGGAAAAUAUGCAUGAAUGAUGAAGUGGUAGUUUCAUUUUGUAUGCAGCACCUUGGCAAGAUUCUGGUUUCUUAAUAGAACCAAUAGCUCAUGUACACAGAAGAUGAUACAAAAGUCUAGUUUUCAAGUGUUAACUGUUCUGGAACUAUCAAGAUUAAGAUCAUUAUGAAUAACUUUGCUUUCCCUUGUUAAGCUGGUAUUGAGUCUUUGAUUUACAAUUAAGUUAAGUCUAUUAUGUCCGUCUUGUUAGCUAGCUUCAGCAUUAUCAAUGAUGAUAUGUACAUAAGAGUUGUCUACUCCAUUGUCUUCAUCUUGUACGUUCUGUUAGAUAGUAAUUCGAUGAACUGACAUUCACUUUUCCAAUAUGGUUUCGUUUAAUAUUGAAUAUUUUUGUAUUUGCAAAAAAUCAUAUAUAUGCACUUUGUGCUGCAUCCUACUCCUUUUGUUUACCAAUAUGUUAGCUUACAUGUGCUCGUUCUAGUUCUAUACUAGGCUUAUCUGAUCUUUUAAAUGCUUUACUUUUCGUUUUUCUUCAGGUCUGCCGACAACACUCAGGUGUUGAUGGCUUGUUUUCAACUUUUAUUAUGAUUUUGCUACUCAACCUCUAGUUUUGUAGUCCAAGUAUUUGUUAUUUUUGUCUAGCUGAAUUGAGGUUUGACUAAUACUCAUUGCUAAGUAGUACUGAUUAAUAGAAUUUGCUGUAAUUUGGUAUGUUCAUGUUUCUGAAAGAAUAUGGUGUCUCGGUGUGGAAAAUAUGGAUGUUUCUCAAAUUAGAUUGGAUUGACUUUUCUGUUUCAUUCACGAAGGUGAUUAUUGUCACAUGACUCGCCUAGAUUCCAAAUCUUCUCUACUAUUUAAAACUUCCUAGAAAAAAGUCUUGCAAAAUCCCCACCAAACAGAUGAGAGUACCAGCUGUUCUCCUCCCUGUUGUACAUUGUGCUUAUGGAAUAAGGAAUAUGUUGGCUUAGUUGAUGGUCAGUCUCUUUAUUAUUCUGAUAGUUAUGCUGAAGAGUGGAAGGAAUGUGGGUUUUAUUAUCAAAUUUACCUUUUUCCCAACUCUCACCAAGUAUGACAAAAUGAAUUUUUAAAGGCAUCACCUGCUUACUUUCAAAAAAUGAGCUGGAAUUUGUUUUUCCGUUUCUAGGACAUGCAGACGCAUGCUUUCCACCAGGCUAUCUUUCCAUUAUGUGUUAGAUGUUCUAAUACACAUACAUAUCAUGUGCUAUUAAUGAUUUUGCUUCUUCUGCAAAUUUCCAGGUCAUGUUAACUGUAUAAAAGUUCGACAUUGGUUCCCUGGUGGUGAGCACUUAAAGAUCUACCAUAUGGGAGGAGAGCAAAAGGCCUAUAUAUAUACACUUGGUCCCUUACCUUUUGGUUAUUGUUUUGGUUCUUGCUGCAGGUUCGUGCUUUAGUGAGAGGCUUGGAUGAUCUUUUUUUUUUUUUUAGUGAAACUAUCCUCUUUGUAACUUUCAACUCGAGUAAUAUCUGAAUAAAGUACUUGUACUUCUCCAACAGUCCAUCUUCUUGAGUUUUUUUUAUUGCAUAUCUUGUUUUAUCCCCGCCAUAUAUAAAUGAGUAAACUUGGCUAUUUUUCGCUGGGGGUUUAUACUUUGUACUAGUAAACAUUUG